rnacentral:rRNA from 1 species
AGGAAUACGUCGGAAUCUGCCUAUUUGUGGGGGAUAACGUAGGGAAACUUACGCUAAUACCGCAUACGUCCUACGGGAGAAAGCAGGGGACCUUCGGGCCUUGCGCAGAUAGAUGAGCCGACGUCGGAUUAGCUAGUUGGGGGGGUAAUGGCCCACCAAGGCGACGAUCCGUAGCUGGUCUGAGAGGAUGAUCAGCCACACUGGAACUGAGACACGGUCCAGACUCCUACGGGAGGCAGCAGUGGGGAAUAUUGGACAAUGGGCGCAAGCCUGAUCCAGCCAUGCCGCGUGGGUGAAGAAGGCCUUCGGGUUGUAAAGCCCUUUUGUUGGGAAAGAAAAGCAUGCGGUUAAUACCCGUGUGUCAUGACGGUACCCAAAGAAUAAGCACCGGCUAACUUCGUGCCAGCAGCCGCGGUAAUACGAAGGGUGCAAGCGUUACUCGGAAUUACUGGGCGUAAAGCGUGCGUAGGUGGUUUGUUAAGUCAGAUGUGAAAGCCCUGGGCUCAACCUGGGAACUGCAUUUGAUACUGGCAAGCUAGAGUGCGGUAGAGGAUAGCGGAAUUCCUGGUGUAGCAGUGAAAUG